rnacentral:rRNA from 1 species
AUGAACGCUGGCGGCGUGCCUAAUACAUGCAAGUCGAGCGAACGGACGAGAAGCUUGCUUCUCUGAUGUUAGCGGCGGACGGGUGAGUAACACGUGGAUAACCUACCUAUAAGACUGGGAUAACUUCGGGAAACCGGAGCUAAUACCGGAUAAUAUUUUGAACCGCAUGGUUCAAAAGUGAAAGACGGUCUUGCUGUCACUUAUAGAUGGAUCCGCGCUGCAUUAGCUAGUUGGUAAGGUAACGGUUUACCAAGGCAACGAUGCAUAGCCGACCUGAGAGGGUGAUCGGCCACACUGGAACUGAGACACGGUCCAGACUCCUACGGGAGGCAGCAGUAGGGAAUCUUCCGCAAUGGGCGAAAGCCUGACGGAGCAACGCCGCGUGAGUGAUGAAGGUCUUCGGAUCGUAAAACUCUGUUAUUAGGGAAGAACAUAUGUGUAAGUAACUGUGCACAUCUUGACGGUACCUAAUCAGAAAGCCACGGCUAACUACGUG